rnacentral:rRNA from 1 species
AUUGAACGCUGGCGGCAGGCCUAACACAUGCAGGUCGAACGCAGAGGGGACGGGUGAGUAACACGUGGGUAACCUCCCAUCAGAGGGGAUAACACUUGGAACCAGGUGCUAAACCGAUACUGAUGGAUGGACCCGCGGUGCAUUAGCAAGGUGGUGAGGUAACGGCUCACCAAGGCCACGAAGCAUAGCCAACCUAAGAGGGUGGUCGGCCACCCUGGGACUAAGAAACGGCCCAGACUCCUACGGGAGGCAGCAGUGGGGAAGAUUGCACAAUGGGCGCAAGCCUGAUGCAGCCAUGCCGCGUGUAUGAAGAAGGCCCUAGGGUUGUAAAGUACUUUCAGGCGGGAGGCGUUACCGACAGAAGAAGCACCGGCUAACUCCGUGCCAGCAGCCGCGGUAAUUC